rnacentral:tRNA from 1 species
GGCGCUUUGGCCGAGUGGUUAAGGCGGCAGACUCGAAUUACCCAUUGGAAUCUGCUGGAGUUUCUCCUCACAUGUUCGAAUCAUGUAGGCGUCG